rnacentral:lncRNA from 10 species
CAAAGCGUAACAUGGACUCCGGGCCCGUGCAGGCGCUGCAGCUCUGGGACCAACCGCAGCCGGCGAGUGCCGCGACUGGCCCGGCCGCAGCCAAUGGGGCGGGCCCGGGCCUCCAUGUGAUUGCGAGCGCUUUCUCCGGUGGCCCUGCAGCGCCUGACCGGACGGGGUCUGUGUGGCGAGGGAGGGGACCCGGGGUUGGAGACUGGCGGCGAGCGACUGCUAGAUGCGGAGCAGGGCUCGGUGCCGGGCAGGCGCAGCUGCCAGUUAGCUGCGAGGCAUGGUCAGGAGCCUUCACCCGUCCUGGGCGAAGGAGGCUGUCCCGUCGACUAAAACUCUGAUAUUAAGACUUGGCGCUGGGGGUGGGGAGUUGAAUUACGUUAAAAAGUCACUUAAGUGCCUUCCAACUCUAAGGAGAAGUACUUAUCUGAGCUUUGGGGCACACACAACUACUACUUGGCAUGGAGAGUUUCUCAGCUUCAUGUGUUCCGUCUGUUAUUGAAGCUGUAUUGGAAAGUCGGUUCUUGUUUUUAUCUGAGCCCGCCGUUUUCAUCCCAUUCUUUUCGUCAAAAAUAUGUUACAUCUGAAAGAGGCAGAUGAAAAGAUUAUUCUAUGCUAAGAGGGUUUUGCAGCCCGAUAAUGUCACCGUUUUUUGUUGUUGUUGUUGUAGGAUCGGGGUUCAUUUGCAGUCUUUUUUGUGGGUGAGCAGAGGCAGGGGCCAAUAAAUAAAUUAAGGCGGGAUAUUUGGAGUUAUUUGGUUGUAAUAAAAUAUGUGGUUCAACC